UACGUAGGGUGCGAGCGUUGCCCGGAUUUAUUGGGCGUAAAGGGCGCGUAGGCGGCCACGCACGUCCGUUGUGAAAUCGCCCGGCUCAACUGGGCGGGGUCGGCGGAUACGGCGUGGCUGGAGCAAGCUAGGGGGCAGUGGAAUUCCUGGUGUAGCGGUGAAAUGCGCAGAUAUCAGGAGGAACACCAAUGGCGAAGGCAGCUCACUGGGACGAUACUGACGCUGAGACGCGAAAGCGUGGGGAGCAAACAGG
rnacentral:rRNA from 1 species